GUCACCGUCAUAUCUGCCAGUCUUUCUUGUAAGGUCACUCAGAAGAGCGAUGGCCGGAGCUGACAUCUUGGGGUCUCUGGGACCUCCCCCUGUUUGGGAGCAUGGCAUGGGGGAAGCAAAGCAGAAGUGCUGGAGCAGCUUCAGCCCAUACAAAGGCAGCAGGAGCAUUUGAAAACCCCUGUGUCAGCUGUAUGCAAGAUGUAUCCAGCUAUGUCCUCAGUUAUCAACCAGAUCAAGGAGGAAGUCAUCUGUGUAAAGGUUCAUGCCUGACUGUUGCAUGUGAUAAGAGAGCAUGUGUUUAUAACACAAGGCCAAGUGAAAGAUGACUUUGAAGAUGGCAUUCUAGUUGAAUCACAAAAAAACCCAAGAAUUGCUUUUUGAGCCCCUCCUACCUCUCAAUCCACUGACCCACUGCACAAAAGUGACCAGGGGAAAAAGCCAGCAGGUGUGGUGCAGCACUUCUUCGCAUUGCACCUGGACCGUAAGCCACUGUGGGAUGUAUCAGAAAAUCCUCAGAAAGUCUAUGCAUUUCAGUAACUGACUUCUCCCCUGUUUGAUUGUAUUUCUGUAUAUAGUUGAAGAAUAAUCCUUAAUAACAUGGGAUUUAGCCAGUACUACGAGACAUCCCAUAAAGAGCAAUGGCGUAUGUUCUGGCGACUAAAUUUAGGGACUAAAUAUUUUACAACAAUUUUUUUCAAAUGAGUUGGGGCCUUUUUGUCAAUGAGGUUCCUAGUAAAUCAUGUUUCCUUUCUAUCCUGCUCCACAGAGGGUUGAAUAACUGAGCAGAGUAGGAAGUAGAGACCUGGAUGUAAUAGAUGUUGGCUGAGGGGAAUCUGGUAACAGCGAAUCCUUUCCCCACACCACCAGGGAUUUGUUUCAGCAAAGCAUUUAAAUGGGUUAUUCUUAACCAGGGCAUUGUGGCACCUUAAUGUGCCAUGAGAUCAUUUUAAUGGUGCCAUGGGGUACUGUGCAAUAUUGGCACUGUUAGGUGUGCAAACAUCUACGUAUGAUUACCAGCUAAACUCAGAGAUAUCAAAUAAGAAUCCAAGGGUGUUUAUACAUGUGC